CGGAUUGCAGCCUGCAACUCGGCUGCAUGAAGCUGGAAUCGCUAGUAAUCGCGGAUCAGAAUGCCGCGGUGAAUACGUUCCCGGGUCUUGUACACACCGCCCGUCACACCAUGGGAGCCGGGAAUGCCCGAAGUCAGUGGCCCAACCGCAGGGAGGGAGCUGCCGAAGGCAGGCCUGGUGACUGGGGUGAAGUCGUAACAAGGUAAC
rnacentral:rRNA from 1 species